GCCAGUUGACAUCGGAGUUCUGUAGAAACUCAGUGAGAGGGAGUUGGAGCUGGUCGUAGGCUCGUUUCAGAUUCGGGAAUAGGUGGAAUGGCAACUCGGAGGUGGACUCGGCGGAGUCGGGCAAGCCAUGGACGGCAGGCAGAGGCAGUGGCAGUCGUACCAUGGUUACAAGUGAGGAUAAAUUUGGAAUUUGAGAGAGGCGACGAAGGUUUUUAGGGGUGGAGAGGAAGGAAAUGCGGUGACCCCUUUGAACUAAGUGGCUGGAGAGAUGAAGAAAAGGUAAGAAGUGGCCAAAGGCCAGCCAUGGGAACACAGCUAUGUGAAGCUUCUGAUGCUCUUUCUUCAUCUCAUCCAUGGCAAUGGAGUUGUGAGUUGUGAGAGAAAUGAUCAAGAUUCAAAACUUUGGGUAGAGCAGUGAUGUGAAGUUGCAGAAAGAGUUGUCGACUUGUGCUCAUCAUCAAAGGAGCAGCGCACCAUGGAUGGAUGUCCCGCUGUACUUUUAUUGGACCCUUAUCGUUAAAUCCUAUCACUCAUCCCCGCAAUGGUAAGCCAAGGGGAAAAAGUGUGUUUUGGUGAGAGGGUUUUGAAAAAAGAAAGAAAAAGGAAGAUAAAAUCCUUUAAAAAAUAAUUAAAAUUUUCAUUUCAUCAUCUCUCCUGUUAAACAAAUAUUCGAUUUUUAUAUUAAAAUAUAAAAAAUUUGAUUUAAUUAAAAUUUUAUUUUCAAAUUAUUUAAUCUUUACAUCAGAUAAUUAAAAUAAGUUAAAUGACUUUUAAAUAACAUAUGAAAAUAAUUUAUUAAUUAAAUUUUUUUUUUCUUCCAAUUUUUUCUUCUUAGAGACACAACUUUUCCCAUGAGAAAAGGUAGGAUCUUAAUUAUUGAGCGUGGCGGUGAGAUUUUGAAAUGAAAAUUGAUGGUCCUUGGAAACUAUUACCCGACUUGAAAUAGUUUUCUAUAUGCUAAAAUGAUUAAAUGAAAUAAUUUUUUUUGAGAUUUUAAAAAAAAAUAUAUAUUGUUUUUGGGAAUAAAAUUGAGAUAUCUUCAAUUAUAUUUUAAAAGUGUUUCAAAAAAUAAUUUACAAGAAUUAAUUUUUUUUUACAUUAUACAUUAUGUGCACAAAAUUCAUGAAAAAUAAUUAAAUUUUUUUUUUUCAAUGUUUUCAGAAUUGGAUUAAUCAUUAAAUUGAAAAGUUAUGGAUUUAUGGUUCAAUAGUUUGAUUGAUAGUUAAAUCGCGAUUGAACUGGUGAUGUAAUAAAUAUAUAAUUUAUAUAUUAUAUAAAAUUAAAAUUAUUUAUAAAAUUUAAUAUUAAAAAAUAAUAAUAAUUCAUUUUUAUAUAAUUCAUUUUAUCAAAUUAAAUUGGUAAUAAUAAAUAUAAAUAUAUUAAUAUUUUAAAUUUUAUUAAUUAAAAUAAUACACAUAUAAUAUUUUAAAGAAAAAUUAUAUGUUUAAAAUUGUAUAUUUUUUAUUUUAUAAUAUUUAAAAACAUUAUAUUAUUCUCAUAAAUAUUAUUAUAUAAUAAGUAUAAUUAUUUAAGGGUUUUAAAUAAUAAAAAUUUGAAAGAAGCAUUACUUUCCAAAUCCCAAUAGUCUAACAAUGCUUUUGAUAAGUUGGAGGUCCGAGGGUGAGUCCUCAGACAAACAGAAAAAAAAAAAAAAAGCUCAUGGAUCAUAAGCAAUAGGGCCUAUGAGGCUUGGCUUGGAUGGAAUAAUUAGAUAAUUCAAAAAUUAAGUUUAUUCUAUUAAUGUUUCCAUAAAUUACAAUAUUAUUAGAGAAAUUUUCAUGUGUGACAAAAUAAUAUUGUUAGAAUCACUUUAAAAAAUUCAAAACUAUAUUAUGAAAAAAAAAAAAAAAAAACAAUUAUGCCACUGUAAACCUCAUUUUUUUGUGUAGUUUUUUUAUUAUUUUUGUAGCACUUUGCUGUCAGCGUGUUUUAGAGUGGGGGACGACUGUGAGUUACAUGCAUGGGACAUGUGCCAAGACACCACCACCUUGCCAUGGUGGUAGUUGAGAUGGGGACUCCUUUUGAACAGAUGACAGAGGAGUGGGUGGUGAGCAGUAAAAUUGGUGAAGACUGGAGGUGAAAGAAAAACAGAGCAUGGGUGGGCUGUUUUGAGGGGGUACCAGCUAUGAAGAAGGGAGGGAGAAAAACGAGCAGCGGAGGGGGAUUUUUCUGGGAGAAAAAUCUGGAGAGUGGGUGCUGGGUUUUUGUGGCAGCUGAGGGAUUUUAGAAAGAAAAAGAAGAAGAGAGGUGAGCUGAAAUUUGGGGGGGCGGUGGGGGAACGCGUCUGAAAAUAGAGCAAGAGGAGAGGUGGAGUGAAAACGGGGAGAACGGUUUUUUUGAAAGAAAACAGAGCAAGAGGAAGGUUGUCCACGGGUGAGCGGUUUUUGAGGGAGGCGCCUGAAAACAGAGCAAGGGGAGAGCUGGAAGGAGAAACGGAGGACGUUUUUUUUAAGGAAAAAACAGGCAGCAACUGGAGAGAGAGAUCUAGGAGAAAAACGGAGCACUUGAAGCCAAGUGUGCUUGGCUCAAGAGGAGACACCCAUGUUCAUUGUGAACCGUGUAUUUUCUUAUUUUUGGAUGCCAUUUUACCUGAUGUCUCUGUUAACUUUUGGGUCGUUCUUGCUGGUCCUUCCAUGUUCGUUUCCUUGGCUUACCUUGAAAACUGGUGAGGUUUUUUUUAUCAUGUUCAUUGCGGGGCAUUCUGAAGAUCAACGCAUUUGCUCUACUGGGUGUCAUAUCUGCAUUGUAUUUGUUUUUGGCUUUUGCCUAUUCUGUUCUUCUUUGCAACAUACAUAUAUAUAUAUAUAUAAAAUGAAAGAUAUGGUAGUGUGCUCGAUGGGAGUGAACAGAGUAGGGCAGUCCCACAUAGAUUUUGUUGGGGAACGGAUUUAAAAGUAUGGAAAUCACACCCCUUUUUUUUAGGUUUCUAGGAUUUUUGAGUUUCGGGCUAGGUGGGUUUCUUCUUUUGGUUGGUUUUGCCACUCCAAAUGGCUCUCGUUCCACACUUUUUGAUUCACGUUCAGCAUUUCUCUACUUAGGCCUAUGUUUGGUGGCUGGGAAUUUAUAAGAAACUGAUUUUAGGAUCUGGGUAUUUGGUUAUAUGAGAUGAUCUUAAGAACUGUUUGAGGUUUCUACAAACUGCCUUGCAUUUUCAUAUUAUAAACCCAACACCUCUGGUUUGUUGGAAAUGAGUUUGAAAAAAUAAUAAUUGAGCAACUUGGGGCUUAAUUAAAAGUGUGACCCACAUUCCGAAAAUGUCGGGACCAUGCACCAACGCGUUCUCCUCCGUAAGAGUAUAACGUGGUAUAUUUAUUUGUUCAAAUCCAUUAAGUAUUGAAUGAGAAAAUUGACUCCAAAGUCACCCACUUGAAAUUAUAUAUUUAAGGAAACUUGGUAUAAACUUACCAUAAACACUUUAUCCCACGUAGGAAGGAAGUGUGAGGGGAAUGUGAAGAGUUUAUAUAUUGAAUUUUUGCACUAUAGGAACGGCCCAAGGGGCACCCUAAGUUUGUAAAGGGGAGGACCUACAUGGGUGUAGGCUUGUGUGGGUUUAACCCACACGGGCGCAGCCGCCCGGGCCCAUGGGUCUUGGGCUUGGGCUUGCUAUAUAUAUAUAUAAUUUUUGGGCAAAAAUCAUUUAAGUUUCUGGGUCGGGGUUAUCCGUUGGCUUUUCAUAAUUAAGAUUCAUUGUUAGAGUGUGCCUAUUCCGAACAGGUUCAUGACUAUUCCAAACAGGUACGUGUCUAUUCCGAAUAGGUUUAUACCUAUUCUAAACAGACACUAGGAAGUCUAUAAAUAGACUUUCUACCUCGGCAUUAAUAAAAUAAAAAAAAAAUUCAAUCAAUUCCUGCAUAUUUCUCUCUCUCCUCUUUGCAUCCUUUGUCAGUUCGAGUACAAAAUACAAGUUGUGUUCGUGGUGUUCUACAGAUUGAAGUGCUGCUUUUGUAGAACUGAAAAUCCGUUCUAUCUUGGGAGACAUUUAUUCACUACUUGAGCACCAGAGAGGGAAUAAAAUUGUCUUAAAGAAACAGUGUUGUCAUUGGGCUCGAAUUCAUAGAAUUAAAGUAAGUUCUGUAAUUUCAUUUAUUUUAUUUACAUACUUAUUUAAUGUUUACUUAAAGUAUAAACUGUAAAAAGAUUUUAUUGUUAACAUGGUUUGCUUUUUGCAUCUACUCCCCUUCAUUUUUAUGUAAUUCACCAUUCUCUUCCUCUACAAAGAAUCAAACAUGGCAUUCACAAUUUGAAAAGCUUGACCCAUCAAAAACAAUACAUCGAGGCCCUCAAACGCACCACACAAGAGCCACGUGUCAUCCUUUUUCUUUUUUCUUUUUCCUUCUUUUGAUAUUAAAAUUUUAUUUAUUUUUUAUUUUUUAUUUCUCCAUUCUCCAAUAAUUCAUCAAAAUUCCAAUUUUUAAAUUUAAUUUUCAAGAUUUUAAUUUUAAUUUAAUUUUCAAAACUCCAAUUUUUAAGUUUAAUUUUCAAAACUUCAAUUUUUAAAUCUAAUUUUCAAAAAUCUAAUUUUCCAAACUUUAAUUUUCAAAUUUAAAUUUUAAAAUUUCAAAUUUUAAAUAAUUUUCCAAAACUUCAAUUUUCAAAAUUCUCAAAUUCAUUUAUUUAAUAAUAAUAAUAAUAAUUAUUAUUAUUAUAUUUAUUUAUUUAUUUUUUAAAUUCCACUAUCAAAUAAUUCUUCAAAAUUCCAUUUUCUUAAAUUUAGUUUUCAAACUUCCAUUUUAAAAAUUUUUUGAAAUUUCGAUUAUUAAAUUUAAUUUUUUAAACUUCCAUUUUUAAUUAAUUAUUCAAAUUUUAAUUUUCACAUUUAUUUAUUUAAUUAUUGCUAUUAUUAUUAUUUUAUUUUAUUUUUUUAUUUUUAAAUUACAUUCUCAAAUAAUUCUUCAAAUUUUCAUUUUUUUUAAAUUUAAUCUUCAAGAUUUCCAUUUUCAAAUAAUUCUUUUUUAAAAUUUCAAAUAAUUUCAGAACUUUAAUUUUCUUUCAAAUAAUCUUAAUUUCACUCCAAUUUUCAAAUAUUUUUUUAAUUAACCACUUUUUAUCCUUACUAAAAAUUCUAUUUUUAAAUAAACUUGCUAUAUUUCCUUUCAGGGAAGCACCAUAAAUUUUCUUCGAUUUUAAAAUAAUUUUCCGUUUUUCUUGAUUUCUAACAAGCAUGAAGACAAUUUUCAUAAUUCCAAAAUAAUGGAAUUUGUGGGAUUAAUUUAUACAAAAUCAAUUGGGCUUUGGUGGGGCCCAACAUUCAUAACAUUUGUUUUUAAAAUAAUUUAAGUGAAUUGUAUAGUUAAUAUUGUUUGAUUUUGAUUGGUUUUAUGUGAAAUAUUUUACACUUAUCAUUGUACACCAACCUUGUUUCAUGAUAACACUUUAUUAUAUGUUGUCAAGCUACGAUCUUAUUCCUACUUUGCUUAUUCCUAUGCAUGAUUCGUUUUAUUAUUUGAUCUAUGAUCAUUUUGAUAUUUGUUGAUUUCUUUAUCAAUUAUCACACUUACUUCACCUUAUUUAGUAGAAACCAAUUUUUAAGAGCUUAGAGGAUCCUACGAUUUUUAUCGUACAUUUCCAAUAAGUAAUCUGAUCUUACCUUCAAAUUCUGAUAUUAUCUUCAAUUAGACAAUUUUUCUUAAAACUUCACUAAGAAACACAAUAUCAAAUUUGCUUAUUAUACGUUCUCCUUAUAUACCUCAAAAACCUAAGGGUUCCUUUGUUAGGUUUGUCCAUGAAAGGUGAGUCAAAGCCUAAGAUCAAGUCGAAAGGCAUAGUUGAUGGGUAAUAAGUGAAUAUUCUUGUAUUAUCCCUUGUUAGUCUCGAAAAAUCGAAAAGCAACCCCAUUUUUCACCUUAAAUUAAUCAAAAUAAGUAAAAUUUCUUGCUUUUUGUAAAUGAGUAGAUUUAAUAACUAGGGGUCUAUGGCUAACUGAUAUAAAAUAAUUUAAAUAAAAAAUAUACAAAAUCUAAUCAUUAAUAACCCUGAAUUAAAAUUAAGAAAAUUAUCUUCAAAAGAAUAUGUGCUAAUAGCAUAUUAUAAAAUAAUGAGUAAACUAAAAAUAAAAGAAAGUAAAAAAAAAAGAAGAUGGAGAGAAUUUGAGACGAUGUUUUUUUAGAGAAGGAUGUUAAUACGUGGAUGGAACAAUGCUUUUAUAAGCUUACGUAAAGAAAAAGUAGAUAUCUCCAUUAACUUACUGUUAAUAGAUCAAGUAGAUUUAGUUACUACUGAGUCAUUUUCAAGCACCCGAGUGAACUCAUCUAAAUAUUUGGUUUGCAACUUCACAUUUCCAAAGAUUUCCCUCAUUGCCCAUGCAUUUCUCCUAAGUUGCUCUCCUUCUUCUUCCACCAUAACUCGUUUUAUUGACUUACUCACUGAGUCGCCUGUAAAUGAUCCAUCUCGCUUGUCCCUCGGUACUUCCAACCCGACUCGCUUGCCUUCAAGGAGUCUUGCCACCAACCCCAGAUCUGAAGAAGGCCCGGGGAAAAGAAUCAGCACCCGACCCAACCCGAGAGCCUCGAUCACGGAGCUCCAUCCACAGUGGGUCAAGAAUCCACGAACUGAUGGGUGAGCCAAGAUUUGCUUUUGUGGAGCCCAAUUGGCCCAAACUAAACCACGACCUGAAACCCGACCCUCAAACCCGGUUAUAAUCGGAUCAUCUUUGGUUUUAACCACCCAAAUGAAGGGUAAGCCGGAUUUCUCUAUUCCAGAUGCCAACUCGUUCAUUUCGUCCUGACUCAGAGUCAACUCACUACCGAGUGCAACGUAAAGGACGGAGUUUUCGGUUUUCUCGUCAAGCCAUUGUCUUAACGAGCCCCAGCUCUCGUCUCCCUCGCUGUCGUUCACCUCCGUCGGAAGCAACCCUAUCGGAACGACAGGCUUUUGGUAGAGAUUUUCGAGGAGACUCAGUGAAUCACCCUCUAACUCGGCGCAGCUCCUGGUAGCUACAAAUCGGCAGCCUUCAAUCACCUUUGCCAAUCGGAAGAAAUCGGAAGCUUCCGAGUCCAUGCAGUCCUGGAUGCGGGUCACCUCGUGGAUCCUGAAAGCGACGGUGGACGGAAACGGGAUCCACUCAGGAACCACGGUUAAGUUCUCCACCUGCUGUUGACAGCGGCGGAGAAUCUCCUCCGGCGAGCCCAUGAAAGCGAGUGUGCUGGCAUUGAAAAUGCUGAAGAAGACUGAGUUGAUACCGAGUCGAGAGGCGAUUGGGGGCAACCAGUGAGGAGCAAAGUCAUAGAUGAGCCAGUUGACAUCGGAGUUGUGUAGAAACUGAGUGAGAGGGAGUUGGAGCUGGUCGUAGGCUCGUUUCAGAUAGGGGACUAGGUGGAAGGGCAACUCGGAGGUGGACUCGGCGGAGUCGGGCAAGCCAUGGACGGGAGACAGAGGCAGUGGCACCAUGGUUACAAGCGAGGAUAAAUUUGGAGCAAUUUGAGAGAGGCGACGAAGGUUUUUAGGGGUGGAGAGGAAGGAAAUGCGGUGACCCAUUUGAACUAAGUGGUUGGAGAGAUGAAGAAAAGGCAAGAAGUGGCCAAAUGCCAGCCAUGGGAACACAGCUAUGUGAAGCUUCUGAUGCUCCUUCUUCAUCUCAUCCAUGGCAAUGGGGUUGUGAGUUGUGAGAGAAAUCAAGAUUCAAGACUUCUGGGUAGCGCAGUGAUGUGAGGCUGAAAAGGAGUUGUUAUCGCCAUCCAAGGAGCACUAUACCGAACGAGGGAUGUCCCACCACAGCUUUGUUCUUUGGUGCCCAUUGUUAUUUUGGGUACCCACCCAGACUCCAGUAAUAAAGUGACACGUGUAAAGUGUAUUCAAGUAACUUAUCAAACCGACAAGAUGAAUUAUUGAUCGGAAAUAAUCACAUGCAUAUCAAUCAUAUCUACAUAUUAUAACUUUUUUAUAAUUUAUUAUUAAAUAUCAAAUAUAAUUUCUUAUUUAAUGAACAAUAAAACAUUUAUUUAAAGAAAAAAAAAAAGCUACCGAGUUACCCUUAUACUCUCACUAUUCAAACAUAUAAAAAGGGUACUAAUUUAAUAUGAAAAUUAGGUCAACUAAUGCAUUGAAAAAAAUGGGGAUGUGUUUUGAUAAAACACAUUUGAAUGUCAAGUUCAAAACUUUUUGAGGAAGAAAAGAAAAAAAUUUGUAUUCCUUGAUGAAGAUCAAGGAUUUCAAGUGAUUAUAAGUGUCAAAAGUAAUAUUUGAUUGUUUUUUUUAUUUAAAUAUGAAUUAUGUAGGUAGAAAUGUUAUGUUAAAUAAUAAAUAUGUAAUAAUUUUAUAAUUUUUUAUGAGCUUAUUAUUAAUCAAAUGAGGAUGAUUUAAUAUUAUGUUAUCAAAUUACUAUUAAUAUUUUUAUAUUAUUUUUUUUGUGUGUUGAUAGAUUAGAUUUGAAGAUGAAGUUUUAUGUCUUGCAAAGGGAAAACAAGAAUUUUUGUUUCUUAAGAAGAUAUCAUAUGAAGGAUUUCAAGUGAUUACAACUGUUAAAUGUAACAUUUGAUAUGUUUUUUUUGUUUAUUUAAAUAUAAAUUUUGAAAGUAACAAUGUCAUGUUAAAUAGCAUUUAAAUAUGCAAUGAUUCGAUUUAGAUUUUAAAUUUUUUAUGAGUUAUUAUUAAUCAAAUUGAGACAAUUUAGUCAUUUGUCAUGAAAUUGUCAUCAAUAUUUUAUAUCAUUUUUUUGUGUAUUCAUAUAUUAAAUUUGAAGAUGAAGUUUUAUAUAUCUUGAAGAAGGAAAAUAAGAAUUUUUGUUUCUCAAGAAGAUAUUAUAUUAAGGAUUCCAAGUUAUUACAAGUAUUAAAUGUAAAAUUUGAUUCUUUUUUUUUUAAUUUAAAUAUAAAUUUUGUAGGUAGAAAUGUCGUGUUAAAAAGCAAUUGUUUUAAAUAUGUGAGAGGGGAUAUGAACAAUGUGAGAGAUAGUAUAAAUAGUAUGAGAGAAGGUAUAAGCAAUGUGAGAAGGUGUACAAAAAAUGUGAAAAGGGUAUAAACAAUGUAAGACAAUGUACAAACAAUGUGAUAAGGAGUACGAAUAAUGUNNNNNNNNNNNNNNNNNNNNNNNNNNNNNNNNNNNNNNNNNNNNNNNNNNNNNNNNNNNNNNNNNNNNNNNNNNNNNNNNNNNNNNNNNNNNNNNNNNNNGAAUAAUGUGAGAGGGGGUAUAACAAUAUGAGAUGAGAUACGGACAGUGUCAGAGAAUGUACGAACAUUGUAAAAGAUGAUAUAAACAAUGUGAGAUGAAAUACGAACAGUAUGAGAGAAGGUAUGAACAUUGUAAAAGAUGAUAUAAACAAUGUGAGAUGAGAUACGAACAGUGUGAAAAAAGGUACGAGCAUUGUAAAAGAUUAUAACAAAUAAUAUGAGAGAUGGUACGAACAAUGUGAGAAAUGAUACAAACAAUGUAAGAGAGUACAAAUAAUGUGAGAUGAGGUACGAAUAAUGUGAUAAAUGAUACAAACAAUGUAAGAGAGUACAAAUAGUAUGAACAAUGUGAGAGAGGUACAAACAAUGUGAGAGAUGAUAUGAAUAUUGUAAAAGAUUGUAUGAACAUUGUGAGAGAUUGUACAAACAUUAUAAGAAAUAGUACGAACAUUGUGAGAUGGUGUACAAAUAUUGUGAGAUAGAGUAUGAAUAAUGUGAGAGAUAGUACAAACAUAAUGAGAGAUGGUACAAAGAUUGUAAUAGAGACUAUGAACAAUGUGAAAAAGGGUUGAACAUUAUGAGAUGGGGUACAAAGAAUGUGAGAGAUGAUAUGAAUAUUGUAAGAGAUUGUAUGAACAUUGUGAGAGAUUGUACAAACAUUAUAAGAAAUAAUACGAACAUUGUGAGAUAGAGUAUGAACAAUGUGAGAGAUAGUACAAACAUAAUGAGAGAUGGUACAAAGAUUGUAAUAGAGACUAUGAACAAUGUGAAAAAAGGUUGAACAUUGUGAGAGAGUGUACAAACAAUGUAAGAGGGGUAUGAACAAUUUUAUUAAACAAAUUAAAAUAAUUUAAUUAUUUGUUAUCAAAUUCAAUAUUUUUAUAUCAUUUUUUUUUUUGUAUUUAGGGAUUAUAAAAUAUUAUUAUUAUCCUUAUUAUAUAUAUAUAUAUAUAAAUGAAAGAAUUUGAGAAAUGAUAUGAAACAUGUGAAACAAGGUAUGAAAUGAUAUAAAAAUAUUUAUUUAAAAAAAAACCAAAUUGAUAACAAGUAUGACUAAAUAAUGUAAUUUUCUAACUACUUUUUCUUUUAUAUUUCAGUUCCUUCAUGGAUAUGAUAGACAAAGGCAAAGGAAAUGAAUUCAUCAUCGAUUUGAAGGAUGAAGACUUUGACUACCAAUAUGAUAGUAAUGUGAAAACUGAGUUUGAUGAAGAGUCCAUGUUAGGAAUCUUCACAUUUUUUUGUACUCUUCCCAAAAUUUCAAGUAUUUUUAUGUUUAAAUUUUUUUGUGCAUAAUUUACAUCAAUCAUAAGUGUAAUUAGUAUUUUUAAAUAAUAUCAUAACUAUUGAAAGUGGGAAAAAAUUCUUAAAAAUCAAAGAAGUCAAAAUUUUGGAGGAUACGAAAAAUGUAAGAAAUCCUUAUAUUCUUUGUACUUUCUCUUUAUUUCAUGUUUUUUUUUAAAUUUUGAUAUUUUUCUCCUAAUAUUCCUUCAUUUGUGACUCAAUUAAGCUAUUUUAUUGUUAUUUUUAAUGAAAAAUUAAAUCUUAAAAAUUUUUCAAAUAUAAAAUUUGGAGGAUAGGAAAAAAAUGUGAGAAUGUUACAAAUCAUACCCUUUUCAAUUUAAUUUUUUUAGCCAAAUAAUCUAUCAUUCUUGACUCAGUAAAGUUGUUUUAUUGUUAUUUAGAGUAAAAAAAUAAAUCCUAAAAAUGAUCAACAUGUAACAUUUUUAUGAUUUUUAUUAUAAAGUGUUACUAGGAAUACCAUCUUUUUAUGAUUCAAUUUUACAUUCGUGAAAUAAGAGUAAUAGUAUUGUUUGAUGAGUCAUGCUAAAAACGACUAAAUUAAGUUUAUAUGGUUUUUAUAAUUAUAUUCAAAUAUGUUAUAGCUAAUGUUAUAUAAAAUAUAAUGGAAUUUAAAUGUGUUGUAGUUUUAAUUUCAUAUAAUUAAUCAAAUUUUUUAUAAUUGAUCAUGGUCCAAUUACCUAAUACCUUUGUUUAACCUAUGCUCAAAAUGUUGAAUAUCAAUACAAAUAUUAAUUCCAUAUUAAAACAUCACCAUAUUCAUUUUUAUGUUCGUAAAAAUCAAUAUUCAUGAGGAGCUUACAAACUAAGUGAAUUCAAAUGUUUUACAAAUUUUAUACCAAUUUCAUUUUUAUUUUUAUCCAAUUCUAUUUUUUUUUUAUCUCAUUUAAUUAUUUCAUAUAAACCCAAAAUUGUUUGUUUAAAUACAAUUAUCCAUUAUCCAUUCAUCUUGAAACCCAUUUAUCUCAUCUCAUCAUUUCAUCUUGAAAAAUGAAUGGAACGACUGUUUCCUGCCAAAUAAUGGAUCCAAUGGCUACUAUGUGAUGAGGUGUGAUUGGAUGUUUUUGAUAUAUUCCAACGGCUACAAUGAUGAAUGUGAAGAGAAAAAAUGGAAGAAAAUGGACAAAAUGAAAUCAUGAGGGAGAGAAAGAAAGAGGAAGAAGAGACAAAUGAAGAAGAGGGAAUGGAGGAACCAGUUACUCCUUUAAUAGGUUAUCUUGUUUGUUUUUUUUUUUUUUUUAAAUUUAAAAUGGAUGGCCAAGAUCUAAUGACUAGAGAAUUUUUUUGGUACUAUAGAAUUUUCCAUCCCAUAAAUCCUAUUACUUUUCCCCCACAAUGGGUAAGCCAAGGGGAAGAAGUGUGUUUUGGUGGGAGAGUUUUGAAAAUGAAGGGAAGAAUCCUUAAAAAAAAAAAAAAUAGAAAAAUAAUUUUCUCUUUGAUUUUUACAUAAAAAUAUAUAUAAAAAAUCAAAUAUAAUAAAAAUUAAUUAAAAAUUUAUAAAUUUUUAAAUUAUUUAAUCUUUAUAGAAAAAGUAAAACGAGUUUGAAAUAUCGUAUAAAAAUAAUUUAUUAACUUUAAAUCAAUUUAUUUAUUUUUCCACUUUUUAUUUCCUUUCACUUUCUUUUUAUUUUAUUUCUCUUAUAUAUUCCCUUAAAUUUUUAUGAACCAAAUAUAACUUAAAAGCUUAAUAUAUCCCAAUAAAAAAAAUAUUAUUUGCAUUAAUAUUUAUAAUCCACCUUUAAUUUAAAAAUAUGUAAAACAAUAAUAGAUAUUUUGUGUUGGACGUCAUUUGUCUUAUCCGGGCUGAGCCGUGGAGUAUAUUUGGCUCUGUGGGAUGCUCGAGUCCGGAGACUACACGUUUCCCCACAAAGUGGCCUCCCCAGGAUUUGAACUCAAGACCUUAAGGUCUUUUGGUUUGCCCUNNNNNNNNNNNNNNNNNNNNNNNNNNNNNNNNNNNNNNNNNNNNNNNNNNNNNNNNNNNNNNAUUUUGGAAUCACAUAUUUUGGCAUAUUAAAACACAACUUUUCCCAUGGAAAAAGGCAUGAUGGUCCAAUUACCUAAUACCUUUAUUUAACCUAUGCUCAAAAUGUUGAAUAUCAAUACAAAUAUUAAUUCCAUAUUAAAACAUCACCAUAUUCAUUUUUAUGUUCGUAAAAAUCAAUAUUCAUGAGGGAGCUUACAAACUAAGUGAAUUCAAAUGUUUUACAAAUUUUAUACCAAUUUCAUUUUUAUUUUUAUCCAAUUCUAUUUAUUUUUAUCUCAUGAAGGGCAACUCGGAGGUGGACUCGACGGAGUCGGGCAAGCCAUGGACGGGAGGCAGAGGCAGUGGCACCAUGGUUACAAGUGAUGAUAAAUUUGGAGCAAUUUGAGAGAGGCGACAAAGGUUUUUAGGGGUGGAGAGAAGGGAAAUGCGGUGACCCAUUUGAACUAAGUGGUUGGAGAGAUGAAAAAAAGGCAAGAAGUGGCCAAAUGCCAGCCAUGGAAACACAGCUAUGUGAAGCUUCUGAUGCUCCUUCUUCAUCUCAUCCAUGGCAAUAGGGUUGUGAGUUGUGAGAGAAAUCAAGAUUCAAG
rnacentral:lncRNA from 1 species